AGUAUAAAACAAAAUCUUUCGUUUAGCAUUAUAAAAUCCUACCUCAAUCUAUACAUCUUCGAUCAUAAUUCAAGUCAUUCUGCUUACACAUAAUUCCUACCAAACAAAACUUGCUCGGAUGAAUCUCCUUACCUGAAGACGCACGACACACGUUCAAAGCUUUAGAAACCAAUGUACCAGUCUCGUUGGCACUCCCGUUUGUAAUCAUUUCUAAUUUCAUCGAUCCGCUGCUCGCAUUAUAAAUUAAGAUUUGAAAUCCGCCAUUGAUGAACAGGCAGAGUUACGGAAGAAGUUGCGGAGGAGAAAGAGAAAGGUAUAUUUACAGUGUAGUUUAUAUAAAGUGUAGGGUGGUCGUUAGCUAGCUGGUAGUUUUUACUGUUUUGCGCUUUUAUGAAUUUGGAUUAUGACCAAACUGUCCCUAUGUGAUAUUAAUGCAUAAACUGUCGAAUAAAUGAAAAGAUUGAGUUUU